CCCUUGAAAAUGAUGAAAAUCUUGUUUCCAUACUCUCUCACUAGUUAGGUGUUUUAGAGAGAGAAAGAGGAAGCUUUAUUAAUAGCUUGAGAGCUUUUGGAAAGAAGUUCAAAGUUACAAAGCUAUCAAGGUGCUAACGAAGCCCCAUCACCCUAAUUGGAUCAUUAGGGGAAUUAAGAGUCGGCUAAAGGCUCAAUGAAUACUGAUUAAGAGACAACCGGUAACUAGGACGUGGUGUCCUC
rnacentral:sRNA from 1 species